rnacentral:rRNA from 1 species
UACGAGGGGGCGAGCGUUGUUCGGAAUUAUUGGCGUAAAGGGUGCGUAGGCGGUUUGGUAAGUCUGAUGUGAAUCUAUGGGCUCAACUCAUAGUCUGCAUCGGAAACUGCCGGGCUUGAGUGUGGGAGAGGUGAGUGGAAUUCCUGGUGUAGCGGUGAAAUGCGUAGAUAUCAAGGAGGAACACCUGGUGGCGAAAGCGGCUCACUGGGACCAUAACUGACGCUGGAUGACACGGAAAGCCUAGGGAGCAACAGG